GGGUAACCUGCCUGUAAGACUGGGAUAACUCCGGGAAACCGGGGCUAAUACCGGAUGCUUGAUUGAACCGCAUGGUUCAAUCAUAAAAGGUGGCUUUUAGCUACCACUUGCAGAUGGACCCGCGGCGCAUUAGCUAGUUGGUGAGGUAACGGCUCACCAAGGCGACGAUGCGUAGCCGACCUGAGAGGGUGAUCGGCCACACUGGGACUGAGACACGGCCCAGACUCCUACGGGAGGCAGCAGUAGGGAAUCUUCCGCAAUGGACGAAAGUCUGACGGAGCAACGCCGCGUGAGUGAUGAAGGUUUUCGGAUCGUAAAACUCUGUUGUUAGGGAAGAACAAGUACCGUUCGAAUAGGGCGGCACCUUGACGGUACCUAACCAGAAAGCCACGGCUAACUACGUGCCAGCAGCCGCGGUAAUACGUAGGUGGCAAGCGUUGUCCGGAAUUAUUGGGCGUAAAGCGCGCGCAGGCGGUUUCUUAAGUCUGAUGUGAAAGCCCCCGGCUCAACCGGGGAGGGUCAUUGGAAACUGGGGAACUUGAGUGCAGAAGAGGAGAGUGGAAUUCCACGUGUAGCGGUGAAAUGCGUAGAGAUGUGGAGGAACACCAGUGGCGAAGGCGACUCUCUGGUCUGUAACUGACGCUGAGGCGCG
rnacentral:rRNA from 1 species